rnacentral:rRNA from 1 species
UCGGGAAUCUUGCACAAUGGGCGAAAGCCUGAUGCAGCAACGCCGUGUGAGUGAGGAAGGCCUUAGGGUCGUAAAGCUCUGUUGUUGGGGACGAAGGGCGAAGGGUUAAUAGCCCCUAGCCUGACGGUACCCUUCGAGGAAGCCCCGGCUAACUACGUGCCAGCAGCCGCGGUAAUACGUAGGGGGCGAGCGUUGUCCGGAAUUAUUGGGCGUAAAGAGCGUGUAGGCGGCCUGGUAAGUCUGCCGUGAAAACCUGGGGCUCAACCCUGGGCGUGCGGUGGAUACUGCUAGGCUAGAGGAUGGUAGGGGAAGGUGGAAUUCCUGGUGUAGCGGUGAAAUGCGCAGAUAUCAGGAGGAACACCGGUGGCGAAGGCGGCCUUCUGGGCCUGUACUGACGCUGAGGAGCGAAAGCGUGGGGAGCAAACAGGAUUAGAUAC